UACGUAGGGUGCGAGCGUUGUCCGGAAUUACUGGGCGUAAAGAGCUCGUAGGCGGUCUGUCGCGUCGGAUGUGAAAGCCCGGGGCUUAACCCCGGGUCUGCAUUCGAUACGGGCAGACUAGAGUGUGGUAGGGGAGAUCGGAAUUCCUGGUGUAGCGGUGAAAUGCGCAGAUAUCAGGAGGAACACCGGUGGCGAAGGCGGGUCUCUGGGCCGAUACUGACGCUGAGGAGCGAAAGCGUGGGGAGCGAACAGG
rnacentral:rRNA from 1 species